rnacentral:misc_RNA from 1 species
GUUAAACAAAAAAGAAAAUAAAUUGUUUUUUGUUUGGUCCUAAAAUCAAAUAAGCAUGAUACUAAUCAGAAGAAGCUGGGAGUUUGGGUAUAUUAUAUGUUUCAUGUUUUUAUAUUAUUGUGCAAGAAGUGCAUAUAUUAGGAUUAUGUUAAUUUGUUCAUUUCAAAUAUCCAGAAAGAAGUGAGGGAGGAGAAAUGGGUGAAACAAAAUGGUUCCAAGUCCAUCCUGUUACUAAAUUUCAUGUACUCCUCGUUGGUUAAACCGAUUCGAGACCUUCAAUGUUACCCUCGAAAAGGAAGUUUUUCAAACACCUAACAUUGACCACUUUGACAGAAGUCGAAGGCAAGGAUGACGACUCAAAAGCCAAAGAGAAAAAGUUACAUUCCUCGUCUCCAAAUAGGAGGGAAAUUAAUGCCUUGACAAGAACAUAACUUUCACCACAAAACAUAACAUCUUCAGACCUAUAUUCGCAGCUGCGUACAUCCAAGAAUUGCACCACGGCACCGUGUCAUAGGAGCAGCCUGUCGCCAAGUCGGUCUCUCACCCCCAACUGUCAAGAUAUCAACAUCAGACAUUGGCUUGAUAUACCAAUUCCAUCGAUCAGGACCUAUCACCCCUCCAAUCACAUAUAUGUCAUCUCCCAGCCCAGUCAUUGCAAAUCCAAUCCUUCUCCGGAACUCAGAUGCUGAAACCACUACUUUCCUUCUUUUUCCUUCCUGCUUGCAAAUUAGUCCAUGGCUCAUCACAUACAAGGCCCCAUGAACAACUGCCAUUGGACCUUGGAGCCAACCGUAAUCCUCAACCAUCCAUCCAGACCCUGCAUUGUCCAAUACUUGCACUGUCGAUAAGCCCUUGUGCAAGAUGUGCACCUUUCCCCCAAUAACUAGUCCAGAGCAUGCUGAAUUGUGACUGCGAUGGAGAUCUGGUAUUGGGAUCCACACAUCUUUCUCUGGAUCAUACAUUUCUGCUUGAGAUAUUGAUUUUCGGCAGCUGGUGAAACCACCUGCAACAAGUAUCUUUCCUUUCAAAACACAGCAUGCAAACAUCGCACGGGGUACAACCAUGGACGCACGUGGAGUCCACUGUCGCAAUACAGGGUCAUAUGACCACACUUCAUCAGUUGCAAAGCUUCCAUCCUGGUCACCGGUCAAUGGGUCUACAGCAUCACUUCCACCACCAAGCACAUACAGUUUUCCAGCAGUGGAGACAACACCAAAGUGGGAAAGGUGUCUGAUUUUUGACGGCAGAACAGGAAGAGUAAUCCAAAGGUCUCGAAGAGGGUCAUAAAGCUGCCACAAAUUCUCAGGAUCAAAAGCACACACACACAGCAGAUCUUCUGCUGAACCAACCUCCUGUCGGGCUUUAAACAGCUCAGGACUACGUAUAGCAGCCCGCCAUGAACAAGAAACAAGCUCUAACUUGGGAUGGAGGUAGAAGGGAACUCGUGCAAUGCACCUGAUAGCAAUGGCAUCUGGAAGACCUUCAAUCAGUUCAGACAUACUAAUCACUGUUUCACCUUUUCCCAAAUGAUUCUUCACUGAUAAAUUUGUUGCUAUGCUGAUGGAAGUAUUUGCAAAAGAUAUCUAAUAUAAAAGAAUCAAUUAGAAUGGUUGAGUGAAAACGAAGUCAUAGACUAGAAAUUUCACAAGCAACUUAUAAAGGUGCAUCUGAAUAUUGUUAAGAACACAACUACUACAUUUGUGUUUAGAUGUCAAUGAAAACACUUGGAAAAAAAAAAAAUACUGGAAAUACCCAAUAGCCAUCAUUCCAACCAGCGCAAAGAUCAUAUGUUGAUAACAAAAAAGACUAUGAGAAUACAAUUAUCUCAUUUUACUCCAUCUCAGAUUUCUCUAUUUAUUUUUGACACUCUAGGUAAAUCUGAUUAACUAAAACUCUAACUGCAAAAACCAGGAGUCUAAUGUCUUUUAGACAAGUGAAAACAAUAGGAACAGAAAGGGACAAGUGAAAAUGGCAACAAGUAAUCAAAAUCCUUAUCAAUGUUUUUUAAUCACCUCAUUUCUGAAUGCUCAAACUAUCAAAAUUAACAAUGUUCUAGUCUCUUCAUCUCACAAUUCUCCACCUAAGAAAAGGAAUAGAGGUGAGGUUCAAUUUGAUGGAGUUUUGGUGCCAAAGUGCAUUUGACUAUGAGAUCCAUCACAUAAUUAAAGGUAAGUUUUAUAAAACUGUGGUUAAGUCAGCCAUAUUGUAUGGGAGUAAAUGUUUGGGCAUAUAAGCUACAAUAUACCCACAAGAUGAUUGAGGUAAAAAUGUUGAUAUUAAGAUGGAUGUCUGGUAACACAAUAAUGGACAACAUUAGGAAUGACUACAUCCACCAGAGAGUGCACGAAGCACACAUUGAGGAUAAAAAGAGAGAGUCGAUUAAGAUAGUUUGGUCAGGUCCGACAUAUAGUAUCGAAUAUCCAAUUACGGAAGUGUGAUAAGUUAGUGGUAGAAACUAUAAAGAAUGAGAAAGGAAAGGGAAAAAAAACUAAAAUGACAUUGAGGAAAGUAGUAGUACAAUUUUUGGAUAUUGAUGCGA